GCUGGAGGAGAGUGGGUGGUGCUCUGGGCUGUGACCAGGCCCCAAGGUUGGCCUUCUACUGGAUCUCACCCAUUAUUUUGUCUGACUCACUUCCUCCUGAACGGCUGCAUCACAAUUCACCCCCCAUGACUCCUGGUUGCCUUUAUGUGCCCUGCAGAGGUGGAAGGGCCAGCCAAGACAAAAGGAAGAACAUGUUUAAGCAUGAGAAAAAAUUUACAUUGCAUCUGAUGCACAGGGAGGAGCUGCAGAAACUCAAGGUCAAAAGGUUCAAAUGGGCAGCCAAUGCUUUUCGCCAAGCUUAAAAAAGGCAAAAUACCAGGCAGACUGCUAUGCUCAACUGUUUAAAAUUCAGCCACUCCGAGGAGGAACAAUCAUCUGCUCCACACCAUCUGGCAGCUGUGAAGAAAAAUAAAAUAGCAUAUACAAGUACUGAUCAUUUACAAUGUAAGUGGAAUCCUAUGGUUUAACAUGCAUAAGGGGAAGUAAUGUAAUAAAAGGACUAUUGAUCUGUAUCCUAGAUUAAGUUAAUUAUUUCUAAUGCAUAUCCAGGGGUACUGACCCUACUCAUUUUCUCCAGUCAUCUUGUGUACAAACUACGUAGCUAGUCUGCAGCAUGUUGGUGUAGGGCUGUCCUCACGAGAAUUCUCACUCCAGAUUCAAAUGGGUCCAUGAAGUAACACAUUCUUUUCAUAAUUUAAAAGGUGAAUGCUAAAGAUUUUGGAUGGAGAUAUAAAUAACUGAGCGGCAAAAAGCUGUUAAAGAAUAUGAUUCAUGCACCAACGCACGUAAGCAAGUGCUUAACUUUUUGAGCAUGUGAGUAGUUCCACUGAAGUCAAUGGUUCCAUCUAGUCUUAAGUGAUUACUACAUAUAAGUUAAAUAUGUGCUUGUGUGCUUUGCUAUGUUGAGGACCCUGUAGAUAUUUAAAAUGUGAGACAGAGAAACAAAUAUUUCUCAAAAAAUGGUUUUUUUGCUUACUUAUUUAUCCAAAAUGCUUAAGUUACAUUCUUCAGUCCUCUCUCUCCCAUGGGAGGACAACGUUUGAAAAUACUGAAGGUGAGAAAUUCAGAACAUGUUAAAAUAUGAAAGGGUCAUGAAGUGGGCACAACCAUAGAAAUCUGUGUUGGGAGGGCAGGGGAAACUGUUAGGCCAUCUAACCCAAUACUCGGCCAGUGCAGCAUUGUUUAGAUCUGUAUUCAGGAUUUCCCAGCACCCAUCACUAAAUCUAAACCCUACAUCAGAGUGAUGAAACGUCUACCAUUUUCUUUAGACUAUUCCAUACUCUUCUACAGCUUGCUGUCAGAUCCCCUCCCCCUUUUUCCAAACAAAAUUCUCCCUUUCUUGUUUUCAAUUCACUUUUUCUACUAUACCUACUUGUACUACCCUAAAUAAAUAAAUCAUCUCCAUCCAGACUGUUUACUUUCAUCAAAUAUUUGCAGAUUAUCGG